rnacentral:lncRNA from 1 species
AGCGCUUGGAGCAAAAAGACAAAGUAUUUGAUAAACUCUAAGGUACAUAAAGGAUGUCUAAGGGAACAUGCAGACAUGGAUUACUCUGGACUCACUGCUGGCUGCACACCCCUGGCCAGCCAUGUGGCCUCUGUGGGUUCUGAAUGUGUUGAUGGCGCCAGCCUCCUGGGCUGAAGUGGAAAUGGAAUGAGUUCUAGGGCAUCUGUCUCUUAGAUCAUUUUAAUGUUUGCUGUGUUUUUUUCUGUAUUGCUCUGUUAGAGUAAUAAGAAAUGUGAUUGUGUGUCUGGCCUCAGGUGUGGAUUAAUGAGUACGAUCACUCCAAGCCCAUCCAGGGGCAGCAGAAGAAGCCCUUUGAGGAGCACUGGAGGAAGCACACCCUGUCCUAUGUGGACGUCAGCACUGGGAAGGUCACCCUGGAAUAUAGACCCGUAAUUGACAAAACUUUGAAUGAGGCUGACUGUGCCGCCAUCCCCCCAGCCAUUCACUCCUGCUGAUGAGACAAGAUGCGGUGAUGACAGAAUCAGCUUUUGUAAUUAUGUAUAAUAACUCAUGUAUGUGUCCAUGUCAUAAGUGUCUUCAUACGCUUCUGCACUCCAGGGAAGAAGGAGUACAUUGAGGGGAGAUUGGCACCCAGUGGCCGGGAGCUUGCCAGGAACCCAGUGGCCAGGGAGCGUGGCACUUACCUUUGUCCCUUGCUUCAUUCUUGUGACAUGAUAAAACUGGGCACAGCUCUUAAAUAAAAUAUAAAUGAACAAACUUUCUUUUAUUUCCAAAUCCAUUUACAAUAUUUUACUGUUGUGACUUGUCAUAUUUGUUGACCUAAAAAUCAAAUGUAAUUGUCUUUGUAUUCUGUCACAUCAAAAUCCAGAUAUUUUGUUGUAGUUUUUCUUUUUUUUUUUGAGACAGGAUCGGUGCAGUGGUGCAGUCUCAGCUCACUGCAGCCUCAAACUCCUGGGC